rnacentral:rRNA from 1 species
UACAGAGGGUGCAAGCGUUAAUCGGAAUGACUGGGCGUAAAGGGUGCGUAGGUGGUUAAUUAAGUUUCAUGUGAAAGUCCCGGGCUCAACCUGGGAAUGGCAUGGAAAACUGAAUAGCUUGAGUAGAGGAGAGGUGAGUGGAAUUUCCGGUGUAGCAGUGAAAUGCGUAGAGAUCGGAAGGAACAUCAGUGGCGAAGGCGACUCACUGGACUCAUACUGACACUGAAGCACGAAAGCGUGGGGAGCAAACAGG